ensembl:snoRNA
GCCCAGUGAUGAGACCAAGGCGAAUACGAGCUUGCCGAAUGAGAGUUGGGUUCUUCUUGCCCUGACUGGCAGGUAAUCUUGGCAGUGCAGAGGAGAAUUUCUGCUCUGCUGUAAGGGCCUGCCUACAGUGACUUGGCUCGACCCAUAUUAUUCCUCUACAGCCACAGGGGAGUUAAUUCUGGGAUGAUGCUAACAGUGUGUGUGUUCUGUGCCUGUGUGCGUGUGUGUGUGCCAGAGGCAAGAAGUUCACCCAGCUCUCUUAGUUCAGUGAGCCAUGAGUUUUGUCUUUGGUAAUCUGAGGGCA